GAGGAAUAUUGGUCAAUGGACGAGAGUCUGAACCAGCCAAGUCGCGUGAAGGAAGACGGUUCUAUGAAUUGUAAACUUCUUUUGUGCAGGAAUAAAGUGGGUUACGUGUAACCUUUUGUAUGUACUGUACGAAUAAGGAUCGUCUAACUCCGUGCCAGCAGCCGCGGUAAUACGGAGGAUCCGAGCGUUAUCCGGAUUUAUUGGGUUUAAAGGGUGCGUAGGUGGAUUGAUAAGUCAGCGGUGAAAGUUUGCAGCUUAACUGUAAAAUUGCCGUUGAAACUGUCGGUCUUGAGUGCAAAUGAGGUAGGCGGAAUGUGUUGUGUAGCGGUGAAAUGCUUAGAUAUAACACAGAACUCCGAUUGCGAAGGCAGCUUACUGGGAUGCAACUGACACUGAUGCACGAAAGCGUGGGUAUCAAAC
rnacentral:rRNA from 1 species